GUUGGCCUAAAUCCGAGCCAA
rnacentral:snRNA from 1 species